CCUACGGGUGGCAGCAGUCGAGAAUCUUUCUCAAUGGGGGAAACCCUGAUCGUGCGAAGCCGCGUGGGGGAAUGAAGGUCUUCGGAUUGUAAACCCCUGUCAUGUGGGAGCAAAUUAAAAAGAUAGUACCACAAGAGGAAGAGAUGGCUAACUAUGUGCCAGCAGCUGCGGUACUACAGAGGGCUCAAGCGGUGUUCGGAAUCCCUGGGCGUAAAGGGUGCGUAGGCGGUUUCGUAAGUCGUGGGUGAAAGGCGCGGGCUCAACCCGCGGACGGCACAGGAUACUGGGGGAUUAGAGUAAGGGAGGGGGAACCGGAAUGCUCGGUGUAGCAGUGAAAUGCGUAGAUAUCGAGAGGAACACUCGUGGCGAAGGCGGGGUCCUGGACAUUAACUGACGCUGAGGCACGAAGGCCUGGGGAGCGAAAAGGAUUAGAUACCCGAGUAGUC
rnacentral:rRNA from 1 species